rnacentral:misc_RNA from 1 species
GAUGAAGAACGCAGCGAAAUGCGAUACGUAAUGUGAAUUGCAGAAUUCAGUGUAUCAUCGAGUCUUUGAACGCACAUUGCGCCCCCUGGUAUUCCGGGGGGCAUGCCUGUCCGAGCGUCAUUGCUGCCCUCAAGCACGGCUUGUGUGUUGGGCCUCCGUCCUCCUCCCGGGGGACGGGCCCGAAAGGCAGCGGCGGCACCGCGUCCGGUCCUCGAGCGUAUGGGGCUUCGUCACCCGCUCUUGUAGGCCCGGCCGGCGCUUGCCGACACAUCAAUCUUUUUUCCAGGUUGACCUCGGAUCAGGUAGGGAUACCCGCUGAACUUAAGCAUAUCAAUAAGCGGAGGA